GAUUUUUUCACCUUUUUAGGUUUCCGUUUUUUUCUUUAGUAUAAAAGGAUAUAAUGGACCACAUUAAUGCACAUUAUCGUCCUGGGCUGAAUGUCGGAGAGGGCAGAGGUCAUAUAAAGAUUUAUUCGACGUAAUAGGAUGAAAACAGCAGGUAGACCACAGAGGCAGAGGAUCAGAGAAAGAUUCAGGUGUGUGUGUGUGUGUGUGUGUGCAUGUGUCAGAUUAACGCUAAAGUGGAUCAGUAAGGGUUAAACCAUCUGUCCAGCCUCUCCAUCUGCAGCCCCAGUCAGCAGUACAAACCACUUAGCGAGGCGAAACCCAUCUACACCCGAGCAAAAUCCAGUGCAUAAACACAGCUCAGCGUCCUUCCACAGAAAUCACCUGCCCUGCUUGGCCCAGAUUAAACACACACUUAAAACACAGUUGGACUGUGGAGCGAAUUCAUUUAACUGUUGCAUUUCAGCACAAAAACCUGCUUCAUACUCACUAACCAGUCCAUUUUAACCGGUCUCUAUCUAGCACUGCACAACUGUGCUCUCUUUUCAGCAUAAAACAUGCCUACUUUCAGUUUACACCCACUUUUUUAUUCACAAACACUGUGCUAUUACCUCCUGUGGAAAUAGAAGCGAAACAACAUUAUCCUAGAGCGCUCAUUCUUAGUGAAUUCCCCUCUUGCAUGUAGACAUCUGUCAUCGUAACAAACCAGCACCGUUUGAGUCCUUAGAUGUGCUGGGUAGCAUUUAAAAUGUUUCUUUGGGUACCGACGCUUCAUAUAAUGUAAAGAAAAACUGAUCCGAGACCAUAAGACAGGUCUAAGACUAAGACCAUUAGACAGGCGCGAGACCGUAAGACAGGUGUGAGACCCAACGGCAGCCGCAGGUGAAGGUGAUUGAGUGCUGUCGAGCAUAUUAACACUCUCACCUUUUGAUGAAAUGAUUGAUUCUGUUAGGAACAGCUUUCGCACAUACACACUCUGAGAUAGAGCUAUACAUUCUCGGUGUAGCUUCUCAGGUGAAUAAAACUUGGAAUGGGUUUGUUAUAUAAAAAUGUGAUGCUGCAGUACCGUUAAAUGGGUCUAAACCUGACCAGGCACUACAGAAAUGCUCACUGCAGGCUACAGUGAUCAUUUCUACAUAAAGCAAAACACACAACAAAAGUCACAUAAUUACCGCUGCUUUCACUUGCCAAGCCAUUAAUCCAACAAUAAACAACCUGUAUUUGUUUAUCCAGAUGCUUGAGUCAUAAAAUUCCCUCGGCUUAUCCAACAAAUGCAUUAAAAUGCGGAUCCGAAAGCAAAAUGAGAACCAAACAGCAGAGUACAGAUACAAAGAAAGAAAUGUGCUGUGAAAGUUGCACUAUACACAUAUUUCUCUAUGGUGGGAAUAGAAAUGCAAUCUAUUAUAUUCCACGUUCUGUUGUUAGACACAAUGUAGAAGACGAAUUUGGGCAGCUGUUUGGUUUGUUAAAUGUGCUUUUCACCUCUGAUUUAUCUACUGUUAUUCUGUCAUAAAACUAUUCAUGUAAGUAGAAAACAAGAAAAGAAUGGGUUAAACAAACAAACAAACAAAAA